GGAGAAGUUCCUGAUGCCCACACCUGCUGGUCUCACCGCUAGGGCCUGGGCAUCACAGGCAGGGGGAAUGGGGAGGGGACGGUAGCGUCAGCCUACACCCACACGCAGUUUCCUGAUAAAAGGUCCUUUGGAAACUUUGAUUCUCUUCUCACCAAGUUGAACGGAGAUGUGUUCCCAUAGUAAGAGUGAGGCCCCUGCAUUUGCUGCCCUCGGUUUUCCCAACUAACACCAGGGCCUCCCCCCUGUACCCCAUUCAUAUGCCUCAGAAGCUGACAAUGACUGUUGGGCUUUUCCAAUGAAUACCAGAACACCAUUUCCUGCAGCCUGAAAAGAAGACAGUAUAAUUGUUUGGCAGCAAGAGAAUCCAGGUGCCCUUCCAUGAGAAGCCCAAGCCAUGUGGAGAAGCCACGUCUAGGGACUCCAGUUAACACUCUCAGCUGAGUCCCCAGCUGACAGUCAGCAUCAACUGCCAGCCACCUCUGUCUAAAAGUGGGCUAUCUUGGGCAUCCAGCCCAGUCAAGCCUUCAGAUGAGUCCAGUCCCAGCCACUAUCUCACACAACCACACGAGAGACAUCAAGAACUCCCAGUGGAGUCCAGUCAGCCCAUGGAACUGCAAGAGACAGGAUCUCGCUGCGUUGCUCAGACUGGUCUCGAACUCCUGGGCUUAAGGGAUUCUCCUGCCUCAAUCACAGCCUCCCAAGUAGCUGAGAUUAAAAGUGCUCACCACCGUGCCAGCGAGUUCAGUUUUUGAGAUCUGUCCCAUUCCACCAAGGAUUUAAGGCUAAAGAUUUAAGUUGUGAAGAUGAUAAUGGAUUGACUCUAUGAAUGGCCACAUUUUUUUAUGCCUCCCUUUUCCCUUGUCCUCGGGCAGUGUCCUCCGACACUGACUCUGUGCUUGGCCCUGUGACUUGCUUUGGCCAAUGGUACAGCAGCAAACUUGAUGCAAACACAACUUGAAAAAGAAGAGGACAGCCAAGUCAUCCCAGCCAAGGCCACCCUGGACCAGCCAGCCUCUUGCCAAGCUGCCAGUGACCACAGAGUCCAAUUAACAACAGCCAGUCCUGGCCCAGGGUGGAGCCAAGACUCUGAGGAGAGGGCUGAACUGUGAACCUAGAAGUACCAUCUCCCCCUGCACACACCUUUGGUCAAGUUGACCCCAAGAAGAAGGACAAGUCCUCUGCACGGCGAUGAGGCCAUACACACAGUCUGUGGCCCGGCUUUGGGAGACUGAUGGGACAAAGGAUGUUUUGCACGAUCCUUGGUCUCUGAGCAAAUAUAUACAUGGGUUAACACAAAGGCUCUCUUUUUGAAAAAUGUGACUGUGAAAGUGUGCCCUCCCAGAUAUUCCAGGCAUAACACAGGAGUGACUGCAUGUUUGGGGACAGUGCGGAGGCCACUCUGAUUAGAUCAGAGGAUGUGGACUGGUUCAUGAUGUAAAAGCUGAAGGGAGGCCGGGCACAGUGGCUCACGCCUGUAAUCCUAGCACUUUGGGAGGCCAAGGUGGGUGGAUCACGAGGUCAGGAGAUCGAGACCAUCCUGGCUAACAAGGUGAAACCCCGUCUCUACUAAAAAUACAAAAAUUAGCCAGGCGUGGUGGCAGGCGCCUGUAGUCCCAGCUACUGGGGAGGCUGAGUACUGGGGAGGCUGAGGCAGGAGAAUGACGUGAACCUGGGAGGCAGAGCUUGCAGUGAGCUGAGAUCGCGCCACUGCACUCCAGCCUGGGCAACAAAGCGAGACGCUGUCUCAAAAAAAAAAAAUGCUGAAGGGAGGGUGGUAAUGAAGGGAAGAAGACUCCAGGGUUUCAAGUGCCAUGGAUUAAGGGAGGGAGUAAAGGCAGAGGGCCAGGACAGAUGGUUGGAUCUGUCUUAGAGGUGAGGUACCUUCAAGAUGCCUCAGGGAAAAUGGCCAGUAGUCCAUCAGGACUCAAGAGUAAGACUCCAGGAAGACACUUGAAAUGGGAAGAGAGCUAAGAAAAUAAUCCACAUAGAGGUGAUCAUUAAAGGCGUAAAGAAUAAAGCAAUAACGUAAAAAAAAAAAAAAAAAAAAAAAAAAAAA
ensembl:lncRNA novel transcript